rnacentral:piRNA from 1 species
UNGACUAUCAGUGGCAAGGCCAUGCAUGC